UGCCAGCAGCCGCGGUAAUACGGAGGGUGCAAGCGUUGCUCGGAAUUACUGGGCGUAAAGCGUCCGCAGGCGGGUGGAUAAGUUGGAUGUGAAAGCCCAGGGCUCAACCCUGGAACUGCAUUCAAAACUGUCUACCUUGAGUGCGUGAGAGGGAAGCGGAAUUCCUGGUGUAGAGGUGAAAUUCGUAGAUAUCAGGAGGAACACCAGUGGCGAAAGCGGCUUCCUGGCAUGACACUGACGCUCAUGGACGAAAGCGUGGGGAGCAAACAGGAUUAGAUA
rnacentral:rRNA from 1 species